AGAAAGCGUCGCUCUGUGGUCGCUACGGAGAGAGGGAUGGGUCUGUUCUACUUUAAAAGACAUUUUGUUCAGUUUCCCAUGCUGUUUUAAGUACUUUCUACGAUGGCAGUUUUUUGGAAACGCUUUUCGGUCGUUGCAACAACUCCCCUACCAAGUUUCAACGUCUUUAUAUCCACGUUUCGGCGCCACUAGUGCGUUGUUUUUAUCCUGGCAUGACCGAUAAAGAUUAGUUAGCAUGUUAGCGAGCUAGCUGCAAAACCUCAGCAUCACUCAGCGACCACGCCUGCUAGUAACAGCGUGCCUGUAGGUUCCUAGGCAGACAUGGGGAAACUACAGAGCAAGUUUCGCAGGAGGUCAGAGCUCUACAGGGCAUCUGAGGGGGAGAAGACAGAUAAUAGCAUUGACAGUCAGGUAGUUCAGUAUGAACCUGCCCAUCAAGGAUCCAUCAACACUGUGAUCAGUCUGAGUCCAGAAUUCUGUGUUUCUGGAGGGAGUGACCAGGCCGUUGUAGUGUAUGACUGGACACAAGGCCGGAUGUGUCAGUCCUUCCAGGGUCACAACCGGGAGGUUACCAAGGUAACGUCAAUACUAUGUGAGCAAUCUGAUAAUGAUUUGACACUUGCUCUGAACUGUUACACAUAUUCUCUCAUUUCCUCACCUCACAUAA
rnacentral:lncRNA from 1 species